rnacentral:sRNA from 2 species
UCUUAUAAAAGGCUGAAUCCUCAUUAAAUGAGGUACGGAGGAACCAAUUUUGGGGUUAAUCAAAAAGACAACUAAUAAAUGUACAUAUAAUAAACUUCUUUGUCUUUUUCGUAGGGCGUCCUAUUACCCGAACCCGACAGCUAACUUCGGAAGCCAUAAAUAGGAGGCUAA